CCUACGGGCGGCUGCAGUGAGGAAUCUUGCGCAAUGGGCGAAAGCCUGACGCAGCAAUUCCGCGUGGAGGACGAAGGCCCUCGGGUCGUAAACUCCUUUUGCGAGGGAAGAAGUUCUGACGGUACCUCGCGAAUAAGCCACGGCUAACUACGUGCCAGCAGCCGCGGUAAUACGUAGGUGGCGAGCGUUGUCCGGAUUUAUUGGGCGUAAAGAGCCCGCAGGCGGCUUGGCAAGUUUCGAGUGAAAUCUCCCGGCUCAACUGGGAGGGCGCUCGGAAAACUGCCAGGCUUGAGGCAGGGAGAGGGAUGUGGAAUUCCCGGUGUAGUGGUGAAAUGCGUAGAUAUCGGGAGGAACACCAGUGGCGAAGGCGGCAUCCUGGCCCUGUCCUGACGCUCAGGGGCGAAAGCGUGGGGAGCAAACCGGAUUAGAUACCCUGGUAGUC
rnacentral:rRNA from 1 species